GUGGGGAAUAUUGGACAAUGGGGGGAACCCUGAUCCAGCCAUGCCGCGUGUGUGAAGAAGGCCUUUUGGUUGUAAAGCACUUUAAGCGAGGAGGAGGCUACCGAGAUUAAUACUCUUGGAUAGUGGACGUUACUCGCAGAAUAAGCACCGGCUAACUCUGUGCCAGCAGCCGCGGUAAUACAGAGGGUGCAAGCGUUAAUCGGAUUUACUGGGCGUAAAGCGCGCGUAGGUGGCCAAUUAAGUCAAAUGGGAAAUCCCCGAGCUUAACUGGGGAAGUGCAUUCGAUACUGGUUGGCUAGAGUAUGGGAGAGGAUGGUAGAAUGCCAGGUGUAGCGGUGAAAUGCGUAGAGAUCUGGAGGAAUACCGAUGGCGAAGGCAGCCAUCUGGCCUAAUACUGACACUGAGGUGCGAAAGCAUGGGGAGCAAACAGGAUUAGAAACCCGAGUAGUCC
rnacentral:rRNA from 1 species